CCUACGGGUGGCAGCAGUGAGGAAUAUUGGUCAAUGGACGAGAGUCUGAACCAGCCAAGUAGCGUGAAGGAUGACUGCCCUAUGGGUUGUAAACUUCUUUUAUAAAGGAAUAAAACGAGGCACGUGUGCCUUUUUGCAUGUACUUUAUGAAUAAGAAUCGGCUAACUCCGUGCCAGCAGCCGCGGUAAUACGGAGGAUGCGAGCGUUAUCGGGAUUUAUUGGGUGUAUAGGGUGCGUAGGCGGGGUAUAAUGUCAGCGGUAAAAUCGUGGAGCUCAACUCCAUCCAGCAGUUGAAACUGAUGAUCUUGAGUGGGCGAGAAGUAUGCGGAAGGCGUGGUGUAGCGGUGAAAUGCAUAGAUAUCACGAAGAACUCCGAUUGCGAAGGCAGCAGACCGGCGCCCGACUGACGCUGAAGCACGAAAGCGUGGGUAUCGAACAGGAUUAGAUACCCCUGUAGUC
rnacentral:rRNA from 1 species